rnacentral:rRNA from 1 species
GAUGAACGCUGGCGGCGUGCCUAACACAUGCAAGUCGAACGAAGCACCUUACCUGAUUCUUCGGAUGAAAGUUUGGUGACUGAGUGGCGGACGGGUGAGUAACGCGUGGGUAACCUGCCCUGUACAGGGGGAUAACAGCUGGAAACGGCUGCUAAUACCGCAUAAGCGCACGAGGGGACAUCUCCUUGUGUGAAAAACUCCGGUGGUACAGGAUGGGCCCGCGUCUGAUUAGCUGGUUGGCAGGGUAACGGCCUACCAAGGCAACGAUCAGUAGCCGGUCUGAGAGGAUGAACGGCCACAUUGGAACUGAGACACGGUCCAAACUCCUACGGGAGGCAGCAGUGGGGAAUAUUGCACAAUGGGGGAAACCCUGAUGCAGCGACGCCGCGUGAGUGAAGAAGUAUUUCGGUAUGUAAAGCUCUAUCAGCAGGGAAGAUAAUGACGGUACCUGACUAAGAAGCUCCGGCUAAAUACGUG